AAAAAAGCAAAAAAUAAAAUAAAAAAUAGGGUCUGUAUUUUAAUCAGGUCCGGGAGUCAGCCCGGACCUGAUCCUCAUUCUAUAUAUAUAUAUAUAUAUAUACUCAUUGCAAAUCUCCCAAUUUCUUUGCCUUGCCUUGAUUUUGGGGAUUCAAUUUAAUUAAAGCUAGCAUUAUAGGGACAAAGGCUAUUAGAGUGGAUGAGCAAACUUUGAAAAAAUGAAAUAUAACUUGAUUACUCCCAUGUGCUCCCUCCUCUACAUAGCCCGGCCACUCUCCCUCCUAUUUGCCCCAUUUUGAUUUUCUUUAAAUGCUAUAUUUACACAUUUUAUCUUCUAAAAAGGUCCACACAAUUUGGGUUAGGGUUUGAGCCAAACAAAUUAUUUACUUGGGCUCUCAUUUAAAUCAGUUGGGCCACAUCCACCAACAUAUGUCUAACACAUUAAAUACAUUACCCUUGUUAUUUAAUUAGGGUUACUAGUCCACUUACAUUGGAUUUUAAAUAAGUACUCACAUUGGUUUAAUAAUAUAUCCCAAUUAGACUUGCUAUAAUUAGGUUAAGAUAAUAAAUAGGUUGAGAUAAUAAAAUAAAUCUCUUAGGCUAGUCCACUAGUAUAUAAUUUAAAUACUUGUACUCUUAAAUAAUAUAACACUUAAGUUAUUAAUUGUCAUAUCUACAAUGUUUGUAAUAGGUUACAAGACUUUUCUUUUCCAUUACUCUUUAUAUGAUUAAUAAAUAUAUUCAUUCACUCACAUAAGUACACUACAUAAGUCACAAAGUUUUCUACUUCAUUGAUAAAUAAUUAAUAUUCUCAUUUACAAUGUAACCUAAUAUUUCUGGUUAUUACAAGAUACCCAGCACAACAACAUAUUUCGCAUGUGAGAGAGAGAAGGAAGGAGAGAAAAUAUACCUGAGGGAGGCUCGAUUGGGGGAGGUGCGACUGAGGAGGCAAAGUCGAAGAGGAACUAAGGAGAGGAGUCGUGAAGUCUUGAGGAAGAGGAGUCAGCGAGUCGCGUUGUUGAUGUUGUGAAGGCAGAGGAGUCGAUGUCGUGAAGGCUGAGGACUUAGAGGAGACUAAUAAGAGGACUCGAUGUCGAGUUUAGGGCUUUAAACUUCAUCACGAUGGCUGUUGGGGUAAGUAGAAGACCCAUGGGUCAUGGGUAAAAAAAAAGUUGGCCAAAGCUACCUAGGAGUGUGCGCCUUGAUAGCUCGGUGCCUCACAGCGUCGCCUAGGCGACGACAUGAGACACCGAGCUACCAAGGCACACGCCUUGGUAGCCCUACCUCAAGUCGAAGCACGACAUGACCUUCUCUUCAUCGCCAGGACGCCUAGGCGUCGCCUAGGGACGCCUUGGCGAUGCAAGGCGUUGUAGUAACAACUAUGUUCUAAAUGUAUCAUCUUUUCUUGACGAUAUGAGAAACGUAGUCCAAUAUGUUAAAUGGGGAUGGAACUUCAAUACACUAUUCAUAUCCUGAUCAUGUAACUAAGUAUAUAUGAUUAUUUACAUGUCUUAUUUGUUUGCAUAUAUGCCUUCCAUGCAGUUUAUUAGUAUUGGUGAAUUUCCUUAACAGCUUCAUCCAAACUCCAACAGAAAAAAGGAGCCACUGAACUGCCCUUCUUUUCUCUAUAUGCAUAUGCAUUUGAUUGUGCAGGUGUAUAUUUCACAACUUGUCUACGUGUGUUUUUCGUUGUGAUUUUGGUGAUGCUUUUAUUUCUUUGCUUUCAGUUUUCUAUUUGUUACUGCUUAUUUCAUUGGUUGAUGUCCAUGGCUUAAUGCAUCUGUCUACUUUAAUAUGUGAUCUAUCGUCAUUUGGAGCAAAAUUGUUUACAGACCUGCACCUUAGCUCACUUGUGAAUCUGUGUAAAUUAAUUAUGAAAAUACAUCUUGUCUAUAUACAAAAACUCAUGCUAGCAGUACAUGUUCUUUACCUGUUUCCUCAAAAUGAUCUCCUAUGAGAUUUAAAUUACUAAGGCCUCUAAAAGUUUUCUACACUAGCAGAACUGUAACAGAACGCAGAACACAAUUAUGAAAUUGCACAUAGAUUCUUCUGUCGGUCGCCGCCAAAUCCCAGCGGAUCCCCAAAUCCAGAUUUUUCUGGAUUCUUAUAGGGGAUUCUUUUGUAUUUUUUAUUGACAAAAGUUUAAAAAAUUAUAAAUACUAUAUAUAUACUAUAGUAAUUAAUACAAUAUUUUAAAUACUAGCAUUAUCUACGAAAUUAGUAAAAGAACUGAUUAGUAUGUAUUUCAUAAAUUCCUAGAUAGCAGUAGUAUAUACAAUGUUGUAUUUCAUGAGUUUUUUUUAAACAUUUUAUCAGGAAUUAAUAUUUAUUAAAAUUUUAAUGUAAUUUCAUGUACGUAUUAAAGUCUGUUUAAUACGUAAAUAUGUGCCACAAGUUCCCAUUUUUUGAGAUUUGCUUAACUGUCAAAUCCCCAUAUGGCAAAUUUGAAUCCUCAAACCCUACCCAAAUCCUUGCUUUUUAGGCAUAUAGAGCUUUUAAAUAUUUAACUAAUCAAUAAAACCAGUGAUUAUGAUGAAUAAAAGAACUCGUACAUCCAACGGGCAUGGUCUUCAAACUGAUGGUCUGAUACUGAUAUUUGUCGAAACAUAAACCUUACAUUAUCUAGGACCACUCCAUUAACCUUCUAAAUUAGUAUAAUAGAGUUCAAAUGAUGUUCUCUAUUUUAUAUCUGCAGGCAACAUCUGAGGCUGCUGCCGAGAAACAGAUCCAGCAACUCUUAUUCCCACGCUCACGCAGGAAAAAAGUCGGUUCUCAUGCUGAUGGACUUGGGGAUCUCCAUCCACUUUAAAUAUCCUGAUCCGGCUACUAUACCUUUCGUAACAGUUUUAAAAAUAAGUUUUGAUCUUAGAAUUCAAUCUAGAGGUCUCAUUUAUUUUUUUCAGUCAGUUCAUUUUUGAAUUGAACUUUUUUUUGUAAUGUAUUGCUACCUUUUUCAGAUUGAAUAUGUUGGUGUAACAGAAUAAAAAGGGUUCUCUUGUACAAUAUACUAAAUUAAUAUGAAUCCUGAUACCCUGAUUAAUAAAGCAGCUUCUUCAUAUUCUAUAGAAAUGAUUCCUUUCUUAGAAUCCCCAUAGGGUUCUACAAGCUUAAUCUCAUUUUACCAUCUUUUAUAUUUUAACCUGUAGGGCUCGAGUUUUGGCUUGCCGAGGUCGCUCAACUGAAAGUCAAACAAACUCGAGUCGAAGUCGAAUUUAAUCAAGUCGAGAUAAAUUAAAUUUAAAUAUUUAUUCAAUUAAUUAUUUUUAUGUUUUUAUAUAAGGUUAUAUGUAUAUACACAGUUGUGUAUUACACAGUCGGGCUAUG
rnacentral:lncRNA from 1 species